rnacentral:rRNA from 1 species
UUAAAGGAAUUGACGGAAGGGCACACAAGGAUUGGAGCCUGCGGCUUAAUUUGACUCAACACGGGAAAGCUCACCCGAACCGGACACAAGAAGGAUUGACAGAUUAAGAGCUCUUUCUUGAUUUUGUGGGUGGUGGUGCAUGGCCGCUCUUAGUUGGUGGAGCGAUUUGUCUGGUUCAUUCCGAUAACGAACGAGAUUCCAGCCUGCUAAAUAGACGUCCCGGUCCUCCCAGCCGGACGGUCUUCUUAGAGGGACAGGCGGCAUAGAGUCGCACGAAGCGGA